rnacentral:rRNA from 1 species
GACGAACGCUGGCGGCGUGCUUAACACAUGCAAGUCGAACGGAAAGGCCCUGCUUGCAGGGUACUCGAGUGGCGAACGGGUGAGUAACACGUGGGUGAUCUGCCCUGCACUUCGGGAUAAGCCUGGGAAACUGGGUCUAAUACCGGAUAGGAGCCAUUUUUAGUGUGAUGGUUGGAAAGUUUUUUCGGUGUAGGAUGAGCUCGCGGCCUAUCAGCUUGUUGGUGGGGUAAUGGCCUACCAAGGCGGCGACGGGUAGCCGGCCUGAGAGGGUGGACGGCCACAUUGGGACUGAGAUACGGCCCAGACGCCUACGGGAGGCAGCAGUGGGGAAUAUUGCACAAUGGGCGCAAGCCUGAUGCAGCGACGCCGCGCGGGGGAGGACGGCCUUCGGGUUGUAAACUCCUUUCGCUAGGGACGAAGCUUUUUGUGACGGUACCUAGAUAAGAAGCACCGGCUAACUACGUG